rnacentral:tRNA from 1 species
GCCUUCGUGGUAUAGUGGUCAAAACGCUCAACGCGUAUUCGAGAGGUCCGUGGUUAGAGUCCCGGUGACGGCA